ACGUACACUCCUGCGGGAGGCAGCAGUGGGGAAUAUUGGACAAUGGGCGCAAGCCUGAUCCAGCCAUGCCGCGUGAGUGAUGAAGGCCCUAGGGUUGUAAAGCUCUUUCACCGGUGAAGAUAAUGACGGUAACCGGAGAAGAAGCCCCGGCUAACUUCGUGCCAGCAGCCGCGGUAAUACGAAGGGGGCUAGCGUUGUUCGGAUUUACUAGGCGUAAAGCGCACGUAGGCGGACUAUUAAGUCAGGGGUGAAAUCCCGGGGCUCAACCCCGGAACUGCCUUUGAUACUGGUAGUCUUGAGUUCGAGAGAGGUGAGUGGAAUUCCGAGUGUAGAGGUGAAAUUCGUAGAUAUUCGGAGGAACACCAGUGGCGAAGGCGGCUCACUGGCUCGAUACUGACGCUGAGGUGCGAAAGCGUGGGGAGCAAACAGGAUUAGAAACCCUUGUAGUCCCAUG
rnacentral:rRNA from 1 species